UAAAUGUUUCGAGAAGAUUUACUUUUACAAAGAAAAUUAUGUAAAUAGAUGCAAUAUAAUACUAUAAAAGUUGCUUUCUCUGGCUCUAUGAGCAUAGGUUUGCGCAGAACUCUGAAUAUAGAUGACAUUAUGCCAAAUGUAUUUUCAACAAUACGUCGUACUCUAGAUAAUCUGUAAUUAAAGAUUCUCUCUUUGCUUCCUUUUUUUUGUAUACCCAGGAAAGAUUUCAUAAUAUUAUUUAUUAAAGGAAAUGCAUCAUCAGCUACGAAAACAUAAAGUACUUUCAUGGUUCUUCCAGGAAAUGAUUCUUCGAUAGGAAUUCCCAUCUUAUUUUGUUGUAAUUGUUUAUAAAAAGAAGUAUUUCUAAAAACUGCUCCAUCUGAAAUCCUUCCCUGGCAGCCAACAUCAGCGUACAUAAAACAAUAAUCAGCAUCUACAAUUCCCAUUAAAACAAUGCUAAAAGAUUUGAAGAUGAAUAUCCAUCACCAAUAAAUGAAUUAAUAGAAAAUCAGGAUGAUGAUAGUAACAAAGACUCUGAGGAAUCAUCAACUUCUGAUGUACCAAGAAAACAAAAUAUACAAAUGACAAAUGAAA